UACGUAGGGUGCAAGCGUUGUCCGGAAUUAUUGGGCGUAAAGAGCUCGUAGGUGGCCUGUCGCGUCGGCUGUGAAAACUCGGGGCUCAACUCCGAGCUUGCAGUCGAUACGGGCAGGCUAGAGUUCGGCAGGGGAGACUGGAAUUCCUGGUGUAGCGGUGAAAUGCGCAGAUAUCAGGAGGAACACCGGUGGCGAAGGCGGGUCUCUGGGCAGUAACUGACGCUGAGGAGCGAAAGCGUGGGGAGCAAACAGG
rnacentral:rRNA from 1 species